rnacentral:rRNA from 1 species
CAGUCGCCGCGGGAAUACAGAUGGUGCGAGCGUUAAUCGGAUUUACUGGGCGUAAAGCGUGCGUAGGCGGCUUCUUAAGUCGGAUGUGAAAUCCCUGAGCUUAACUUAGGAAUUGCAUUCGAUACUGGGAAGCUAGAGUAUGGGAGAGGAUGGUAGAAUUCCAGGUGUAGCGGUGAAAUGCGUAGAGAUCUGGAGGAAUACCGAUGGCGAAGGCAGCCAUCUGGCCUAAUACUGACGCUGAGGUACGAAAGCAUGGGGAGCAAACAGGAUUAGAUACCCGGGUAGUCCCUGUCUCUUAUAC